AUGGUGGCCUUCAGAGACGUGGUGGAGGUGUGUGAGUUGGUUGAUCUAGGCUUUAUUGGAGUUCCAUUCACAUAUGACAAUAAACGUAGUGGUGCAAGUAAUGUCAAAGUCCGGUUGGACAGAGCGGUGGCAUCCAAUGAUUGGAGGAAUUCGUUCGCGUACUCGUCGGUUGUUCAUAUCCCUUCUCCUUGCUCGGAUCAUAUAGCCAUUUUGGUAAAGGGGUCAGCUGACCCGGGUCCGACAGGGAAGAGCAACAGAAGAUACGAGCUUUUUUGGGAACGGGACCCUAUGUUGCCGGACAUAAUAAAGGAAGCAUGGGAGGCUGUAGGCGGCGUUCAGAACCUGGCUCAGUUGCGCGAUGCACUAUCCAAGACCAUGAGCUCAUUGGGAUUAUGGAGUAAAAAAGGUAACAUCAGGAGAGAGUUAGCAAAGUCUCGGACUCAGUUGGAGGAACUGAUGAACAUGAACGCAGACAGAGUAGAGAUCAGGGUUGUAACAGACAAGAUGAACGAACUCCUUUACUAGGAGGAAAUGUUAUGGCUACAACGGUCAAGAAUAACAUGGUUGAAAGAAGGCGAUAGGAAUACCAAAUAUUUCCAAAGCAAGGCAGUGUGGAGAGCGAAGAAGAAUAAAAUUCGGGAGCUUACUGAUAGCAUUGGGGUGGUGCAUACAAAUAGUGUGGUGAUGGGGGAGAUGGCGAAUGAGUAUUUCCAAAAUAUAUUUAAGGCUGAUCCAACCAUAAACCCGUCUCCAAUACUGGACCAUGUGGAAGUCAAAGUAACUGAGGAUGAUAAUGCCAGGCUGGUUGCUCCUUUUUCUGAUUUUCCAAAUUGGCCCUUUGAAGGCCCCGGGACCGGAUGGUUUUCCGGCUCGUUUUUUCUAGAGAAAUUGGAGUACACUCAAGGAUGA
rnacentral:rRNA from 1 species